GGAGAGAUGGCUCAGUGGUUAAGAGCACUGACUAUGCUUCCAGAGGACCUGGGUUCAAUUCCCAGCACCC
rnacentral:tRNA from 1 species